GAUGAACGCUAGCUACAGGCUUAACACAUGCAAGUCGAGGGGAAACGACAUCGAAAGCUUGCUUUUGAUGGGCGUCGACCGGCGCACGGGUGAGUAACGCGUAUCCAACCUGCCCAUCACUUGGGAAUAACCUUGCGAAAGUAAGACUAAUACCCAAUGAUAUCCCACGAAGGCAUCGGAAUGGGAUUAAAGAUUUAUCGGUGAUGGAUGGGGAUGCGUCUGAUUAGCUUGUUGGCGGGGUAACGGCCCACCAAGGCAACGAUCAGUAGGGGUUCUGAGAGGAAGGUCCCCCACAUUGGAACUGAGACACGGUCCAAACUCCUACGGGAGGCAGCAGUGAGGAAUAUUGGUCAAUGGGCGAGAGCCUGAACCAGCGAAGUAGCGUGCAGGAAGACGGCCCUAUGGGUUGUAAACUGCUUUUAUAAGGGAAUAAAGUGGGUCACGUGUGACUUUUUGCAUGUACCUUAUGAAUAAGGACCGGCUAAUUCCGUG
rnacentral:rRNA from 1 species